AGAAACUUAGGUUACUGCCCUAAACCAAGAGCCUUCAAAGCUCUCAACAAGAGUGAAACCCUCUUAGUUUCU
rnacentral:tRNA from 1 species